rnacentral:rRNA from 1 species
AGCGUAGACGGCGCAGCAAGUCUGAUGUGAAAGGCAGGAGCUUAACCCCUGGACUGCAUUGGAAACUGCUGUGCUUGAGUGCCGGAGGGGUAAGCGGAAUUCCUAGUGUAGCGGUGAAAUGCGUAGAUAUUAGGAGGAACACCAGUGGCGAAGGCGGCUUACUGGACGGUAACUGACGUUGAGGCUCGAAAGCGUGGGAGCAAACA